UAGGGAAUUUUCCACAAUGGACGAAAGUCUGAUGGAGCAACGCCGCGUGAGUGAAGAAGGGUUUCGGCUCGUAAAGCUCUGUUGGUAGUGAAGAAAGAUAGAGGUAGUAACUAGCCUUUAUUUGACGGUAAUUACUUAGAAAGUCACGGCUAACUACGUG
rnacentral:rRNA from 1 species